AAGAAUCUUUAAUCACCGAGUGACCUUUCCCCUUCAAUUCUUGACAAUCAAGGAAGACUACUACAAGGAAGAGCUAUCAUGGAUGAAGACCACCACAAAACGCAGUGUCCUUAUGACCCAAGCCAUUUCAUUUCAGAAAAUCGACUGCAAUACCACCUGGCACAAUGCAAAAGAAGAAACCCAAGGAGGGCCAGAGAAAUGGCUAGCUGCAAAUACAACGCUCGUCACGUGGUCCCACGUGAACAGCUCCAAGAACACGAGGACACCUGUCAAGACAAAACUGAUUUUUAAUCUGACAGAAUUACAGGCAGCUCAAACACAGGCUGAUUCCAAAGGCUGAAAUGGGCCACAGGUAAGCAGCAGCCACUGGCGCAGGCUGAAAUUGGUCUUCAGGUAUGCUUCUGACCCCCUGAUUCUUGGUUUAAGUCAAGUGGAAAUGAAAGCCUUGGAGUGGAGAGAAAACAAGUUGAUCAAAUUAGAAUCCGAUUAAAAGUUCACUGGCCCUAACGGGGAAGAACUGUAAAUCUGAGUCAUUCUCCAGUCAAUUUCAGACGCUUCUCCUAUCUUCUGACCAGACCUAGGAAGCAAAUUUGCUAGUGAAAUCCUGUCUUGACAAUUUGGAAUUAUGCACCAAAGGGUUAUAAAACGCUACCUACCCUUUGAGCCAGCAGUACCACUACUAGGUCUCUAUAUACCAGAGAUUUUUUU
rnacentral:lncRNA from 1 species